rnacentral:tRNA from 1 species
GGCCCAGUGGCUCAGUUGGUUAGAGCGCCGCCCUGUCACGGCGGAGGCCGUCGGUUCGAGUCCGAUCUGGGUCG